AUUGAACGCUGGCGGCAGGCUUAACACAUGCAAGUCGAGCGGAGAGAGGUAGCUUGCUACUGAUCUUAGCGGCGGACGGGUGAGUAAUGCUUAGGAAUCUGCCUAUUAGUGGGGGACAACAUUUCGAAAGGAAUGCUAAUACCGCAUACGUCCUACGGGAGAAAGCAGGGGAUCUUCGGACCUUGCGCUAAUAGAUGAGCCUAAGUCGGAUUAGCUAGUUGGUGGGGUAAAGGCCUACCAAGGCGACGAUCUGUAGCGGGUCUGAGAGGAUGAUCCGCCACACUGGGACUGAGACACGGCCCAGACUCCUACGGGGGGUAGCAGUGGGGAAUAUGGGACAAUGGGCGCAAGCCUGAUCCAGCCAUGCCGCGUGUGUGAAGAAGGCCUUAUGGUUGUAAAGCACUUUAAGCGAGGAGGAGGCUACUUUAGUUAAUACCUAGAGAUAGUGGACGUUACUCGCAGAAUAAGCACCGGCUAACUCUGUGCCAGCCGCCGCCGUAAUAC
rnacentral:rRNA from 1 species